AUACGGAGGGUGCAAGCGUUAAUCGGAAUUACUGGGCGUAAAGCGUACGUAGGCGGUUCGUUAAGUUAGAUGUGAAAGCCCCGGGCUUAACCUGGGAACUGCAUUUAAAACUGGCGAACUAGAGUUGAGUAGAGGGGAGUGGAAUUUCAGGUGUAGCGGUGAAAUGCGUAGAGAUCUGAAGGAACACCAGUGGCGAAGGCGGCUCCCUGGACUCGAACUGACGCUGAGGUACGAAAGCGUGGGUAGCAAACGGGAUUAGAAACCCCAGUAGUCC
rnacentral:rRNA from 1 species